AUCCCUUGGAGAAGGAAAAGGCUACCCACGUCAGUAUUCUGGCCUGGAGAAUUCCAUGGACUACAGUCCAUGGGGUCACAAGGAGUCGGACACGACUGAGGGACUUUCACUUUCUGUCAUCUGAGGUAGUUAUACACAAGUUCCCCAAAGCUGCUGAUUGAUUUCACGGACAUCUGGCCUGGGACUCCCACUGCAUGGGUCCUGUAUGCACCCAUGUGUAGGGCAACACCUCAUGAGCCACUACCCAGGACUUUGCUUCUACAUAUACCACAAGUUAACAUAUAUUGGGUACUUACAGGGUGCCAGACACUCUUGUGGGUGCCUGGGAAUCAUUGUUGAGCAAAAUAUGCAGAUUCUUAGCCUCACUGAGUUUCCAUUAGAGAGGGGAUGGCAGGGAAGACAGUUAAUAAAACGUAAAGAUGAAUUGUACAGUAUGUUAGUGGGAGAGUCAAUUCCUAGGUAGGUUGGUAAGUCUGGGGUCCCCGAGGAGGAGAGAGAGGUCUGGGGCUCUCAAGGAGGGUGUAUGGGUCUGGAGUUCUCAAGGAGAAGAAAAGGACAAACUUUUUUUUCUUUAAGCCCAGAGCUGAUGAUUGCACAACAAAACAAUUCAUCUUGCUCAAGGAUAUGUUUUUCCUUAAACUCUGUACCAAUGAUUAUAUGACAAUGUAUCCUACUUGAGGACUUGUUUCUCCUUCUUGAGAAUCUUCUGACUAAUCCUGUCAUCGUAAAAUGUAUCUUAAGAGAGUGGGUCUGGUAAGAUCUUUCUGUUUAUUGUUAGUUCUAAUCCCAUUAUCUUAAAAUGUAAAUUGUGGGAGUGGGUCUGGUAAGACCUUUACAACCUUGAGAUAUUCUUUUGAUUUACUGUAAUAACCAAUUGAAAGAGUGUAUAGCUCCCUUGCCAAUACUAGUGAGGGGGGCACUCUCCGCCACCUUCUGAUGUCUGCAUCAGAAGCUUUCUCUGUCACUUUUCAUACUUUAAUAAAACUCUGCUACACAGAAGCUCUUGCGUGAUCAAGACUGGUCCCUGGUUCUGAAGCUAAAUCUUCAGAAAUCACGAAUCUGAUACCGUUCACCGUAAGCUAUUGUUAGCAGUGUUCCGACUCUCCGGAUGGCCAAGCCCCGACUGGACUCAUUGGAGGGAUGGACCAACUCACCAGGAUUGGCCACAGGAUCAGGACCAACUAGACUCCCUGGCUGAGGUGGUUUUACAGACUAGGAGAGGGCUAGACCUACUGACAGCUGAAAAGAGAAGACUCUGCCUCUUCUUGAAUGAAGAGUGCUGCUUUUAUGUAAACCAAUCAGGAAUAGUCAGGAACAUGGCCCAACAGC